rnacentral:lncRNA from 1 species
CCUGCCUCAGCCUCCCGAGUAGCUGGGACUACAGGCGCCCAACACCAUGCCCGGCUAAUUUUUUGUAUUUUUAGUAGAGAUGGGGUUUCGCCAUGUUGGGCAGACAUGUUGGCAGACCAGCCUGCCCAACCUCAAGUUAUCUGCCUGAUAACCUGACCUCAAGUUAUCUGCCUGCCUCGGCCUCCCAAAGUGCUGGGAUUACAGGCAUGAGCCACUGUGCCUGGCCAAUCAAACAUUUUUCAAGUGACUAGUGCAUGUCCAGCACCGGUAGGGGCUAACUGGAUGAAAAAUAGAACGAGUCAAAGUUCUUGACCUCAGGAAUCACAGUCUUGUGUGAGAGAAGACAAGAGGGCAGUGAGUGUGGAAGUGGGGGUGUGGGGUGUGGGGGGAUGGGGAUGGGAGAGGCUGGGGAAGUCUGAGCAAGAGAGGAGAGGAUCUCACAAGAGGAAGAUUGGAAGGCUGGGCAGAGAGACAUAAGCCUGAACAUGGGGCAGUAUGACACAGUUCUGAGGGCUGCAGGCUCUACCUGAGGCUGGUCCAAAGGGACGUGUUGACACCCACUCUGCUUGCCUCCUGGUCACCCUUGCUCACCUGCACUGUGGGUGGGGUUUUUUUUUUUUUUUUGAUCUCUGUUUCCUGCAAGUGGCUUUUCUUCUAUUCAUUUGUUUUAGUCUUUGUAUUUUUCAUUAGGCUUCACCAGAUGUCUGGGGAUCUAUAUACUGCUCUUAUUUAAAGUGAGGCACUAAUGCUAUUUGGAAUAGCUCUGCUUGUUGACUGGGCUUCUCAGUAGGGUGAUAUGGCCAGAUUGCUUCCUGGGGAGCCCAUAACAUCAAUAUCUUUGGGUCUUUUCUCUUAGAUUGGUCAGAUGCCCCCAGAGAAGAAGUCAUUCUCUACCGAAGGGAAGAAACAUACCCAUGGGCACCAGGGAAGGAAGGAUGGAGCCUCAUGCUCAGUACUUCAGUUUUACUCAAUCCCCCGUGUUCAGCUUAGUACCUCCACCUUCAGUGUGACUGGGAUCUUUGGUUCAGGGACUCUCAUCUCAGGAAAAGAAACUUCUCUCUUCUGUCAGCUCAGGGAAGAACAGUUGUUUGGCUGCUUGUUGGCAAGGAGACCAUCUGGGGCUCUAGUGGCUCUUCCCACCUUAGCCCCACAUUUGCCCCCAGUUCUGGAGGAGACUUGCUGCCAAUUCUUGAGGCUUUGCAGGAUAAAGCAGAUUUCUUCUUGGUUUUUCCCACUGUUGGCUUAGGAUUCUGCCCUUUCACAUCUGCUGGAUCAGUUACCACCUUUCUACUCUAUGAAAUGUUAUACGAUAUUUUUUCCUUUCUAUUUCUCUUUCUUCCUUGAAUUUUAUGUCUUUAAAAAUACAAAAAAAUUGUACCUUAAAAAUGUUUUAAAAUGCUUUAAAAAUGUUCUAAGAAAACCCAUUAUAGUAGGGUGUAUGAAGGGAGUAAAGCCAUCUUUAACAGGAAGUCAUGAUUUUCCUUUUACUUGUUCAUCUUUCCCACCAGAAUGUGAACUUCAUGGCUCCACAUAACUGGUAUAUGGUAGAGGAUCAAUUACAAUGUUAGGCUGUUCAUCCUCAUGAUAUCCUUGAGGGAGUGUGUAAAUCAGCUGAGGCUAAAUUAUGCUGCAGCAACAAAUGAUCCCCAAAUCUGAAUGGUUAGUAUAACAAGGGUUUAUUUCUUGUUCACUUUACAUAUUCAUUGUGAGUUGGCUGCAGCUCUGGCUUAUGUCUUCUGAAUUCCAGAUCCAAGUUGAAGAAGCCUCUAUUUGUGACACAGCAGUCUUGCGACAGAGUUUGAAAAUGUGAACCACAUGAUGAGUGCUGAGGCUUCUCUCAGAAGUGGCAGGCUCACUUCUGUUCACAUCUCAUUGGCCAAAGCAAACCCACAUGGCCAAGGCUGUGGUCAAUGCAGUACCAAGUCUAAUCCUCCCUCAGCAGGGGUGGUGAAUAUUUUAGAACAAAAAUGCAAUCUAGCAUAGGAGGCAUUAUCACUACCAUUUCGCAGACAAACUAAGGCUAGGAAGUGGUAAGACUGGCAAUGAAGUCGACAUCUUCCUGAUUACAAAGCCUGUGCUAUUUCUAUGAUGUUCACUGCUUCCCUGGACCCAACUGCCUCUCCUCUAGCCUGGUGGUUGCACUGAGGAGACAAGAAAUUGUGUGGGCCCUGGGACUGGCUUCAUGCAGCUCACUUAUAGAUGGCACACUCAUGGAAAAACUCUGCCAACUGCCAUCCAGUUUCAAGAUGAUAGUGAAGCUGUUCCUUAAUGUGCUGUAGAAGUGUAUUAAAUGUGGUCAUGUGCUGGGUGCAGUGGUUCAUGUCUGUAAUCCCAGCACUUUGGGAGGCCGAGGUGGGCAGAUCACCUGUGGUGAGGAGUUCGAGACCAGCCUGGCCAACAUGGUGAAACCCCAUCUCUACUAAAAAUACAAAAUUAGCUUGGCAUGGUGGCGCAUGCCUGUAAUCCUAGCUACUCGGGAGGC